UACGAAGGGAGCUAGCGUUGUUCGGAAUCACUGGGCGUAAAGCGCACGUAGGCGGAUGUGUCAGUCAGGGGUGAAAUCCCGGAGCUCAACUUCGGAACUGCCUUUGAUACAGCACGUCUUGAGUCCGAUAGAGGUGGGUGGAAUUCCUAGUGUAGAGGUGAAAUUCGUAGAUAUUAGGAAGAACACCGGUGGCGAAGGCGGCUCUCUGGGACGGUACUGACGCUGAGACGCGAAAGCGUGGGGAGCGAACAGG
rnacentral:rRNA from 1 species